rnacentral:rRNA from 1 species
UACAGAGGUCUCAAGCGUUGUCCGGAUUUAUUGGGCGUAAAGAGCGUGUAGGCGGUUGGGUAGGUCCGUUGUGAAAACUCGAGGCUCAACCUCGAGACGCCGAUGGAAACCCCCCAGCUAGAGUCCGGAAGAGGAGAGUGGAAUUCCUGGUGUAGCGGUGAAAUGCGCAGAUAUCAGGAAGAACACCCGUGGCUAAGGCGGCUCUCUAGUACGGUACUGACGCUGAGACGCGAAAGCGUGGGGAGCGAACAGG